UUAAUACUCCCUCCGUCCCAAAAUUCUUGUCUUAGAUUUGUCUAAAUACAGAUGUAUCAAGUCACGUUUUAGUAUUAGAUACAUCCGUAUCUAGACAAAUUUAAGACAAGAGUUUUGGGACGGAGGGAGUACUUA
rnacentral:pre_miRNA from 1 species